GGAUUACAUGGGCAAAUCCUGACUCAUAAUCCCUUGGUCCUUGGUUCGAAUCCAAGCGGGCCCA
rnacentral:tRNA from 1 species